rnacentral:lncRNA from 1 species
UAAAGGCACCAACAGUUUGUUAAGCAGUUUCCAUGAUUGCCCUGAUAAUCUGAUUGAUACAGACUAGCCACUACAAGUGCAUAAUCAUGUGCUUCAAAAUCAGUAGUAAAAGCAUCUCGUGCACUGGUAGUGAAAAGUACUGCCAACACAAAAGCUAGAUGGAUGAAAAAAAUUGAGUUAACAAUUUUUAAAUAAGAAAUAUUACUGAUUACUGAAUAUAUCUUAAACAAGCAAUAUUACUGAUCAAAUUUGAAAAAAUAGAGAAUUAUGUGAUUGCCAACGGAUCAAUCAAACAAUCAUACUACAACAUAAGUAAAUUCUGCAAUAUAUAAAAUAAAAAUAUAAUCAAACUAAAAUUUUACUUUUCCUGAAUGACAAGUACGGCAUUGGAAAUCAUCCUGAUUUUCUUUAAUUUCAUUGUAACUUCCUUCAGAUCUACGGGCAAACAAAUCACAACCAUUCUCUGCAUAUUCGGAGCAUACUUGAGCAUAUACUUUGCCCACUCAAUUCCAUUAGACCCACUGCAAAGCUCUAUAGUAACAUGCUUAAGUUGCUUAGUGAAAGCAAGGUCUUGCGGCUUCCAGUAUUCCAUAUUAAACCCAAAUACCUGAAAAGGAAAACGUCAACAAGCAUAAAUGUACAUACAUGUUAUCUCGAAAGCAUGAUGAAUAAACUCCUGAAUUUGAAUGUAUGCUAAUGAUGUGAGAGAGAGAGAGAGAGAGAGAGAGAGAGAGAGAGAGAGAGAGAGAGAGAGAGAGAGAGAGAGAGAGAGUAGUAUANNNNNNNNNNNNNNNNNNNNGAGAGAGAGAGAGAACCUUUAACUUACAUUCUAUUGAGGGUCCUGUGGUGGUUUAGACUUUAUGUAUAACACACUCAAAUUAGGUGUUCUUCUUAAGACACAGACCAAUGCCGGGAUCAGCUCAUCAACAAAGCUUUCGACAUUCAUAUACAAAUAAGAAGUAUCAUACAAUGGAGCUGGCACAAAUACAUCCAUAAAUGUAGCCUGAAAUGUUGUAAAUCAGGAUUCUCACUUUCCUUUCCCUCUUUCAUAGAUAUGAAUUCUUGUUUGUAAAAACGUCAACUCAUAUUUAGUCCAACAAAUAGCGUGUAAGAAAAAGAAAAACAUGCAAUUUGCACGUCAUAGUUUUUGCAAAAUAAAUAAAAAUAAAAGCAGUUGUAGAGUUUAAACUCGUUUACCUUAUUUGCCACUUCAUUUAGCAAAAGAGCUUGAGCCCUACGUAAACUCCAAAGAACGUCAUGUACCUUGUCCAAUUCAUCUACUUCAGGCACCAGAGAAACUGCAGCUGUUUCUAAGCAUUCUAGUUUUCCCAGGUUUGGGUAUUUCAUCAAAUUCCCAAUCCAUUUAAGACAUUUAAGAUUUGGGGCAUCAACAGUUAAGGAUUUGUUGUUAGGUGAAUCAAAUGUCCAGUAAAGAUCUAAGUCCACAAGGUUCUCACUUGAGAUACUAAUAUGGCACAUGAUCCAGAGGGCCACAAAUGAAACUAAACCUUUUCAAAGAUGACCGAAAAAUUAUGAUGCGUUCUAUCCCAGGAAGAUGAGCAAGAUGUAGAUCCUCAAUGCACCUGCAGGAACAUGAGAUCCAUUCGAAAAAAUGCACAUCUUCGAUGUAAACAUUUCUCAACUGCAAAUACUUAAGAUUAGAGGAAAAGGCAAAAGAUGGGGUUCUGAGGACCGUAUAGUUCAUGACCACCACCAGAGACCUCAAAUGUGCAGAGAGAAACACAAAAGAUGGCAAAUACAUCACCUCAGUCUCACUAUCAUAAAAAGUCAUCUUAAGAUCAAGCACUUCGACAUUACACCGUACUGCAUUCUGGAUCCAUGUCAUCAAUCGAUAAUGCUCAUUAUCACAGAUGCACGGUGUCGCAUCUUCGUCCAUAGAAUGACGCUCCCAAGGGACACGAAACAACUAUAUCUUAUUAUCCCCACGAUGAAACAAUAACCUCUCCAAAUUAGUCAUCAAAUUCAGCCUCCCACCACACAUGGACAUGGCAUCCGAGGGGAACUCAUCAAAAUUCAACGACGGAGCAGAUAUACAAAGUUUUCCACACCUUUUGGACACACAACAUACACGACUAAGGUCUGGCAAAGCCAGGAAGGAAAGAAUGUGAUGUGCAACAGGAUCCGGAAUAUCGCUAAAUCUGUCAAUACUACUCUCAUUCUCACCACGACGUACUUCACCUCCACAACCUACGCCUUUGGUUCAUUUCCAGAUACACUAAACUAUUUCUUUUCCUUUCUGCAACAUAAGUUUGUUUCAAGAAACUAAAUCAAUCUGCUGUAAUCUAAAUACAAGCUUCUUCAGUUAAACAGCUACUAUUAACCAUCACUAAACUAUCCUACAUUUCAUUUCAACACUGAACCAAACUAAUAGAGGAGGAGUGGUCUUGAUAGUACGUAUCGUUCAUGUAACCGAGAGAUUCAUCUUACCCAGCUAGCAGGUUUAUGAGGAGGAUUGAUGAAUGGGGGCAAACGAAGCAGAGCUCGUAGAACCCUAAUUUUGUGGAUUAAAACUAACAAGCUACAGAGAAAAGCCUCUAGCAGAGUAGCAGAAAUGGUUAUCCCUUUUUCAUGUCUCACUUUCUGAGUAGAGUAGCCAUGCUACUUGUUUUGAUGCUUCUCAUUUGUAGAGUAUAGUCAUACUGCUAGGUCAUUAUAGUUAUGGUACGAUUCGACUCUUUGAUUCUUUUAAGUCGGCCCUUCAUUGUUCCUUGCCGACUUGUAUGGUACGAAUUGGUGAUUUCAGUGAAGGGACGGUCCAUUUCCAAUGUAAUGAACACAAAAGGUACAAGUACAACCCACAUGGGGGCUUUUGAGGGGUCGGGCCUAUAUGUUGGGCCAAGUUUCUCACCCCUAAACAAAACAUGGCCCUCUACCUGCUGGAGCAGAUCUACAACAUGCUUUUAGGCCGGUCGGGCCGAGCUUGCGGGCCUCCAUCGACCCACUUGAUCAGUGAGCUUAAUGGUGAGACGCCCAAGCUACACGUGAUGCAUAUUUAAUUAAUUUUAUAUUAGUUACAUUAUUUUGAUUGGUUGGAACCGAAAUAGUAUCAAGUUGAGUCACUCGAUUUGGUUGUGUCAAGCUGAACUCUCAAUUCAACAUCAGUUCCCAUUUAAAUUGAUUCGAUCAGUUCUGUUAAUUAAGAUUCAUUCUGUGAAAAAUGUCACCCCUAAAUAUAGAAUUUAGAAAUAAAGCUUAUGAGACUUGCAAAAAAUAGUUAGAAAGACAAUAUACAUAAUGCGUGCAAAACAUACCAAAACAACAUAUAUCCCAUCUUUUAAGAAGCAAAUUAACUACCAGAUGUUCUCAACGAAAAAAAAAAUCUACUAGAUGUGGGUAUAGGACCCUCCAUUAUUCAAUCAACAGCUGCAUCCCACAUUCUUGAUAUGGGUAUUAGAAAGUGCUAAAGCCAAUCCACAACUGGAUAUGGGUAGGACCUCAUCGUUCAAUCACAAAGGUGAUGUUACUCAAUCACGAUGGUACCGGAUGAAUUAGGAGGGAGGCAACACCAUCUUUCAUCACAUCUCCCACUCGUGUGUACUCAUCAUCCUUUUUGUAAAGAAGAUCAACAACUCUGGUUAGGUUAAGAACACGAGUAAGCACUGGCACAGGAACAGCAGUCGGUCUCAAAAACUCUUCGUUUAUAUCCUUCCACGAAUCUACAACUUUUUUGUUAAAAAUAUCAACCGUCUCUUGCUCCGAUACCCCAUAUUGCUUCAUGUAACAAUCAAUACUUGAAGCAAUAUGCUCUCUCUCUUUCUCAAACUGCAACAGAUAUAUAUAUAUAUAUAUAUAUAUAUAUAUAUAUAUAUAUAUAUAUAUAAUUAAUUCAAAUUAUUCAGAAACCGAUCGAUUUUAUGCUCACAAUAUAUAUAAUGCUUCAUCCUGUAACUAGUUACUGGUUCAUUAUUCAUAUAGUAGACAUACCUUGCCGGAAACAAGGUCAUCCAUGAGCCUAAAAAUAAUAUUGGAAGCUCUAAGAAUUUUAGGGUGAUUUGCCAACCACUCAAAUGCAUCCUUGGUUACAAUGUCUCCCAUUCCGACUAGCGACAUUGUCGAAAGGAAACUGUUUCCAACCGAACGUACAGAGACCUCCAUAUACUCGUCCAUACUUGGAGUGUAGUUUUCAUGAAGCCACUGUGCCUCCGCAAAGUAUAGUCGAGCUUGAGCUUUUAUCUGAAAAAUAUGAAAUACAGUGAUUAACAAUGAUACGUAGUACGUACUCCAAGAACUUACAUAAACAUUCAGUAUCAACAUACAAUUUCUUUUGCGAAGUGAACUCGGUAUGAUUUUCCUUGCUUCACCAUCUCCACCUCAAUUUCAUUGCACAAAAUGAACAGUCUACGAUAGAAGAUCUUCAUAUAGUCUGGCAGUUCAUCUAUACAAUUGACAUCCCACCUGAAAGUUUUAGAAACAUCGAUACUUUCAUAAAACAAAUUUCAGCAACAUAAAUCACAAUUUUUUGUUUCAAUGGAAACUACUUGUUUUGUACCUUUGAAUUGCUUCAGUAAAUAUUUUGAGUUCUUCGAAUGAACCAUAUGCAUCGUAGAUGUCAUCCAAAACUGAUCCAAAUGCAAUAGCUUUUGUUAAGAAAUGUCUUGCCUUUGAGUACUGGGGUUCAGCAUAUACUCCCAAUGUCCAAAAGUACAGCUCAACAAUCCUAUUUCUCGCGAAUGGUAGCUCCCUUUCAAAAUCUAGUUCAUCCCACCAUCUAAUAAUCUCACUGAGCUCCUUCUUGUGUAAAGACUGAACAAGAUUGAAAUCUAACUUUGCAAGUUUCAAUAAUAAAGCUACUGCUUCAUGAUGCAAAGAUUUUGGAUCAUCCGGGAAGAUUGAUAUGUAAUGCCUCGCGUAUAAUCUCUCUGGAAAUUUUCGUAGCGGUCUCUCUAAGGCUUGAGUUAUCUGGGCUGCCAGUGGAUGAUUUACAUCGUUUGCAGAUGACUCAAGGUGAGCUGUAGUGAAAUGUAGACCAUCUUCUAGAAUAUCUUCACCAUGGAUCCUUAGAUGUGUUGCCUCAUAAAAACUUAGCAUACCGGGCAGAUCGGAAGUCAAGCCUUCCUUGAAGUUAUCAUUUGCAUCUUUGAACCUCUUGAAUAUAUCUGGUUGAAUAGUAUUGUCAAAAACAGAAAGAAAGUAAAACAUAAUAACUUAAUAAGUGAAGAGUGAUGACCUAGCUGGUAAUUAUAUAUUUUCAAUCUUACCAGAUGAAACAUUAUAUCCAUGUUCCCGCAAUAAUCGAAAACGAAGAGCAACAUUGUACAAGUUACCAUCAUGAACACAUGCAGCAUGAGCCUGCUCGAGUGCGUUCUCUAUGUCUCUUUCGAAAUGGUAUGCAAUGCCGAGACGCUGCAUCGCAUCGAUUGACUUCAUCUGAGUCGAAAAGUCACUUGAAGCAUUUCUGAAAACUUCCCUUUUCACUACUACUUUCAAUUGAUUAACCUGCUUUUGCAGAAGGGAUCGAGUCAUCUGCAACAGAAGAUAUGGUACAAAUAAUAUUUAGUCACAUCUUCAAAAUGGUUUUGGGUAAGAAACAAUUAAUUUGUCAUCAAAAAAAAAAAAAUUAAUUGUAAUUUUGCAUGAGCUCUUACAGGGUCCUGGGAUUCUUCAUAGUUGCUGAACCGAUCUCCCCAGAUGCUAGGGUGAUAAAUCGCAGUGCGCCGAAGGAUUUCAGGGUUAACAAUUUUUGGUGUUUGGAUUGAAAGAGAAGCUGAUGUUCUUUUGAUGACAAAACGAGAAGCUAAUUGGGUUGACAUGAUGAUUUGCUUGCUAAGCUGCUAUGGCUAAUUGAAGUGUUGGUUUGUAUAUAAAUAGGCUCUAACUCAAUAUCUAGCGAGAUCCGGUAAAUCAAGAACCAUAUUGCAACUAUUGUCCGAAAGAAAGAAGAUGAUCGAAUUAUUAACUAUCAAGCUAGAUGCUCACAUGUUUUAAACGUUCGUUAGCAAAAUAUGGUUCUAUGAUUAUGAUGUUAUUGAAUAUAUGUAGAUGUCUGUUGUUACUCGGACAUAUAUGUCACAUUUCACUAAUUAUCUUUAUGUACUCUUUAUAUUUCAAAGUUCUACCUCUGUCUCUCUUCUUUUGGCCUUGAAUCUGAUUCGUUGAUUUUGAUUUCGGCCCUUUUGAAUCCUCUUUCUUCGGUGGAUUGGUCAGCUUCGUAGACUUUGAAUGAUAUCAGGGAAAGCGCUGGACUACGCCAACAUUCCGUACGCCAGAGUGGGUCCAAAACAGAUGGCUACAUAUUGUCCAUAGGGUUCAAAAAUGAAGGACAUAUACGUAAAUCCAGCAAUUAACUUCUGUUAGCAGUAAAAAUCACUCGUUAUAGUUAAAAUCUGAGGGACGGAGGUUCUUGCCGCCAAGACGGCGACGGAGGAGUCGAGGUCAGAGGGCGGUUCUUCGAGGAAUAUAGUGAUGGGGUCGGCACACGGCGGAGGAACUCGGUCGAUAUUGAUUCCGAUAGAGACGUAGCGGGAACCAACUUCCGGCGAAGCUAUGAGCUACUUGUUUGCGAAAUUGGUUUUGCAAUAAUUGAGGCAAAAGGAUUGGCUAUGCAAUACAGGUUUGUGAUGGUGUGGGUUGCUUUGCUCUCGGGCUUAUCGGAAUUAGGAGAGUGCGAGACCAACAUGUAAUUAAGGUGCCGACACUUUUGUUUACAUUUAGAUGAACACGACGAUGGAUGUGGAGUGCAAAGAGAGAUGAGUAAUCCAUUGUUGGAUCAUACUGGAGGAAUAGCUAAUGUUGGGUCAGUGGCUAAUUAAAAGAAAAAGGAAGUAUUCAACAUCUGGAGCUAUGGGCGCAAUCGUGGCAAUACCACUUCAAGUGAGUUAAAGAGCAUGCAUGUGCUGGCAUUACCACUUCAAUUUUGUGUAGUUUUAUCACCAACUAAACCUUGUUUCUUAUUAUGAUAUGCCUCUUGCAGUUCUUAGUUUGCACUUCGGUCAUAUUUGUACAUUCUUUUCCAUGAAUUGGUGCUCCCGCUCUUAAGCACGAGACCUCCGCCGAUAACCACCGUCUCUCUCAAAAGUCAAAACGCUUCGUCGGGAUAACUACUUUCGUUCCUCUCUAGCUUCCACUCCCAGCUCGGCAUCGAGAUCUAUCUCCCUCAUCCUCAUUGAGAAGCAUUUUGCAAUUUGCAUGGAAAAUGAUGAUCAGGAGCUUGGAACUAGAGUAAGAAGAGGUUAAUUUGAUGAUCAAGAGUUUGCCUAGCCUAGAAUGUUGGUGAUCACAUUUGUCGUUACCUCCCUCAAGCUUCAAUGCUCUCGUUAGAUGACAAGAAGCUUGCAACUUUGUUGUCAGAUACCAAGGAUCGCAGCUUGACAGGAAAGGAUGCAUCUGGGAUUUGAAACUUAUAUAUAGCUAGUUGGAUGACUGAAUCAGAUAGAAAUCUGUUGACAAUCAAGAAGCUUGGAUCUGCUGGACCAUAUCUCAAUUGAAAAAUGGCAGGAUGUUUUCGAUUUUGAUACACCUCGAUGACAUUAACAAGGAUUGGAAGUCACACAUUGUUUCUUCAGUGGGUUUGGUGAAAACUGUUUUUACCAGGUCAACAGAAAUUACAUCGUUUGCCCCUCUGUUUAAACGAAAGUGUUGGCGUACGCAUACAAUGGCGUUUUGUAGCUUUUGCCUGAUAUCAGAGGCUCAAGCCGUCUAUUCCAUCAUGUUUACUGGUCUUGGACCAGCAGAUUGGCUAACACAGCAGCAGACCUUGUUGCUUCUCUAGCCAACCGCAGGGUGUGUCCGGUUGACUGGGUGUCCAAUCCUCCUCCCUCCCUAAUGCGGAUUUUAUUAUUUGAUGCUCAAGCAGCCCCUCCUUAGCUUGUUUGUUGUUGUUUUGUUUCAUCUAUUAUAAUCCCCAGCCAUCUUUUGGUUUUGCAAUAGAAGUUCUUUGCUUACCAAAAAAGUUCUAAUCAUUUCACUCUCAAAUUUCAAUUAUUUCCAAAAUAGAAUCAAGCCCCAGCUAUAGUUGCAUCUAUCUUCUUUCUUCGUGCAACAUAUAAAACCCUAGAUCGCAAGUAUAAAACCCUAAAUGUGUACCAUCACUUCUACAUAUAUUUUUGUCUUCUGUAUUGCCCUAUUUGUUUACGUCUUUCUUUUCUUUGGCGGAGGGAAACUGUGGGCAUGAAAGACCUAGCUUAUGGGGGAGCAGAAACAGUACCAGGAGCUAGAUAUGCUAGUGACCAAAUUAGCACGUAUUUUGCAAGUCACCAGAUCGGCACUAUUGAAGUAUUGAUUUGCUAGCUCCCCAAGAAACUUCAGUUAAUUUUGCUAGUGACCAGCUUCAACAGUAUUGAUCCACUAGCUUCUCAUAUGUGCCCAUAAAAUUAUAUUAGUGGCAUGAUUCGUAAGUUUAUAGAUUUUUUUUUUUAUCAUACAAACAAUUAAAAUGCUACAACGAGUCUAUCGUGAGUUGAGUUAAAUUCACGACCUCCUAUUUACAGAAGGGAGACUGAUGUCACUAGACCAAAUAGUACGGGGCAGGUUUAUAAAAAUUUAUGUCCACAUAUAAUUACGAAUUACAGAUAUAAUAGCUUUUUAAAAAAAAAAAAAGAAAAGAAAAAAAAAAGAGAUAUACAUUGUUAAUACUCCUGACUACAAUCGAUUCACUUCGAUCGUUUUCACUACACUCGGUAGAAUUAGACAUAGAGGUGAAACUUGCAAAACAAUUGAAAGAAAACAUACAUAAUGCAUGAAAAAUACACCAACAAACUACACAUCCGGCCAAUCUUUUAAAAAGCCAAUCGAUCUAGGGGUAUAGAACCUCUCAUUUUGAAUUCAAUCAACAGCUGCAUCCCAUAAUAUUCCAUACAUGUAUCAGAAAGUGCUGAAGCCACUCAACAACUUGAUAUAUAUGAGUGAAUUAGGAGUGAGGCAACAACUCUGGUUAGGUUAAGAACACGAGUAAGCACAAGUACAGGCACAACAAUAAUGCAACUAAUGUCCAACAGGAAAACGAUAUAAUAUGUUUUUGCAGCUUCCGCACCUUUCACGUGUCUGUCGACUCGCCGGUGACAAGACAGCAGACGAGUUAUAGUACUUCACACAGCUGAAGCGCGCGAGAAACGUUUAUUGCGUCGCGUGACUUGCGUCCACAAAGCUUCGACAGUCCCACUAAAAUUGGGGACGCUAUGUAAGAAGGUUUGGAAGGUGUUUCGGGGACUACAUAAGCUCAUUAAAUGUAGUCCUUGCUUCAGCCAAUGAUAGCUCUUAUUUUGUUAUGUAAACAGUCUAGUCCCAUCCAGUCCCCCUUAACAAACAUACCCAUAAAACCACCUUUUCCUGCUUAUUACUUGAUUUUGAACCCAGUAAUUCAUUCCAAAACCUUCUUAAGAAGACUUUCAUAUCCCAAAGGCGGAGAAAUAAUCCGGCAGUUAAUUCUGCAUUUCUGCUAGUGCUCAGCUUCAGCUUGAAGCCAUAAAGUAAUGUUUGAUCCACUUGCUUCUCGGUGCGCCCAUAAAAACAUAAUGUAGCACUCGAUUGAUCAGUACUUGAUUUGAACCCGUGUUGUAUACACCCACAUGGACAAAAGUUUCGAGUCUCUCUCACUAUUCAAUAAAAUUUAGGGGCAUAGAAAAACAAUGACACAAAUGCAACUGAGGUUGUGUAGAGUAUGUGGUACGCAUUGCAUACACAGAUGAAUUCAUCAGGAAACCUCUGGAGAGCUUUUAAGGAAAAAAAAAAAAAAACAAUAGAAUCAAGAAAUAGGCAAAAGUGAAACUUAACUCCAUACAAGUAAAUCUGUUUACAGGGACUGAAGAAUGCAGCAUUGCGGUGCUAAUAAUAAACUAGCAAAACUAAACCUCAGGCCCUCAUGGACACUGAACUAGUUGGAUCUGCCGACCUUAAUUGGUGUUCCUUGAGAGCUAUAAUGCAUUACUUGAUUGAUAUGCAAUACGUUCUCUACAAAUGAAGUUAUGCAGAUAAUGAAUUCGCUGAAACAAUUGCGAAAGGACAUAGAAAGCCAAAAUCGGAUCAAGUUUAACUUACCUUGAGGAGUUGAAGUCAGAAGCAAAGGCAAAGCUUCAUUCUGAACCCUGAUUCCAAUGCUUGAUAAUUAGCAUGAUCACUUUCAACCAUGGGACAAUUAGUAAACUAUGAAAUGUAACGGCUCCAACAGUUAGUUAAGUAAUCACUCUGGUUGCACAGAUAACUAAUUAAUGCAGACUACCUAUUGCAUUUGCAUAACACAGUGCUUCACAAAAUCAGUAGUAAUAGCAUCUCGUGUUCUGGUAGUGAAAGAAAUACCAACAAAAACUUGCAAACAGAAUAAUGCAUGAAAAAUUAACAUAACAAUUCUUAUAUAAGGAGCAUUGCUGAUUACUGAGUAGAUCUCUAAACAGGAAAUAUUACUGGUUAAGUUUGAAAUACCGAGAAUCACGUAAUCCUACGGAUCAAUCAACAUUCAUACUACAACAUAAAUAAACUCUGCAAUAUAUAAAAUAUUAAAGAUAAGAAAACGGUCUAUUUGUUCUUUUUUACUUUUUCUGAAUGACAAGUGCAGCAUUUGAAAUCCUCCUGAUUUUCUUUAAUUUUGUUGUAACUUCCUUCAGAUCUACGGGCAAACAAAUCACAACCAUUCUCAGCAUAUUCGGAGCAUACUUGAGCACAUACUUUGCAAACUCAAUUCCAUUAGAGCCACGGCAAAGCUCUAUAAUAGCAUGCUUAAGUUGAUUAGUAAAAGCCAGGUCUUGCAGCUUCCAGUAUUCC